rnacentral:rRNA from 1 species
UGUAGGCGGGAAGGAAAGUCAGAUGUGAAAUCCCCAGGCUCAACCUGGGAACUGCAUUUGAAACUCCCUUUCUUGAGUACCGGAGAGGAAAGUGGAAUUCCUGGUGUAGAGGUGAAAUUCGUAGAUAUCAGGAGGAACACCAGUGGCGAAGGCGGCUUUCUGGACGGUAACUGACGCUGAGACGCGAAAGCGUGGGGGAGAAAC